rnacentral:rRNA from 1 species
UGGGGAAUAUUGGACAAUGGGCGCAAGCCUGAUCCAGCAAUGCCGCGUGUGUGAAGAAGGCCUUCGGGUUGUAAAGCACUUUUAUCAGGAGCGAAACGCUGUCGGCUAAUACCCGGCGGAACUGACGGUACCUGAGGAAUAAGCACCGGCUAACUUCGUGCCAGCAGCCGCGGUAAUACGAAGGGUGCAAGCGUUAAUCGGAAUUACUGGGCGUAAAGCGUGCGUAGGCGGUUUCUUAAGUCUGCUGUGAAAUCCCCGGGCUCAACCUGGGAAUGGCAGUGGAUACUGGGAGGCUAGAGUGUGUCAGAGGGUGGUGGAAUUCCCGGUGUAGCGGUGAAAUGCGUAGAGAUCGGGAGGAACAUCAGUGGCGAAGGCGGCCACCUGGGACAACACUGACGCUGAGGCACGAAAGCGUGGGGAGCAAACAGGAUUAGAUACCCUGGUAGUCCACGCCCUAAACGAUGCGAACUGGAUGUUGGUCUCAACUCGGAGAUCAGUGUCGAAGCUAACGCGUUAAGUUCGCCGCCUGGGGAGUACGGUCGCAAGACU